CCUACGGGGAGCUGCAGUGAGGAAUAUUGGUCAAUGGACGAGAGUCUGAACCAGCCAAGUAGCGUGAAGGAUGACUGCCCUAUGGGUUGUAAACUUCUUUUAUAUGGGAAUAAAACGUUCCACGUGUGGGAUUUUGUAUGUACCAUAUGAAUAAGGAUCGGCUAACUCCGUGCCAGCAGCCGCGGUAAUACGGAGGAUCCGAGCGUUAUCCGGAUUUAUUGGGUUUAAAGGGAGCGUAGGUGGAUUGUUAAGUCCGUUGUGAAAGUUUGCGGCUCAACCGUAAAAUUGCAGUUGAAACUGGCAGUCUUGAGUACAGUAGAGGUGGGCGGAAUGCGUGGUGUAGCGGUGAAAUGCUUAGAUAUCACGAAGAACUCCGAUUGCGAAGGCAGUUCACUGGACUGCAACUGACACUGAGGCUCGAAAGUGUGGGUAUCAAACAGGAUUAGAUACCCUUGUAGUC
rnacentral:rRNA from 1 species